AGAAAAAUCUGCCGGAUAAAGGCCUUUUGAAAUUUGUCUGAGAGCCAUACGUGAGUUGCCAUUCCUACCUUAAAACAAGAAACCCUAAUUCUGGAUGUGGCACAGAUCCAUGUAUUAAACGUAGUCCUGCAGAUAUCCCAACUUACUCCAAAGAAUUACCUAUUCUUCCAGAGUAGAUGUGGGAAGUUUACAGGCCUUGUCUGAUCUCAAGAAACUAAACAGGAUCAGCCUGGAUUAGCAUUUGGAUGGAGACCACCAGGUCUGCAGACUAGAUCAGGAAAUUGAGAAAACAUUCUAGAAGAAAACAAUGACUUACUGUUUCCAUAAUGUUGCCUAAGAAAAUUACAUAGAUGUGUCCC